CGUCGCACCCUCCAUAUAUCUUCUUCUUCGCUAUCAUUUCAUCCCGGAUUCUCAAAGCAACCCUCGAGACUCAACAAUAUUCAACGAUGGUUUAAAUAAUAAGUAUUAUAAUUUUAUUCCUAAAUGAAAAUAGAAUUCGUGGAAAUAACGGGAGGUGGAUAUUAUGUACUUUUCCAUACUGACUCUACACGCUCAUUUCACUGCGGCAUACAGGCACGUUGCAUCGUUGGUACGUAAUUUUAACGAUUAGGAAAAAGCGGGACAAAGGAAAAUGUCGAGACAAAGUGAGAUAUUGUUUUAUGCAUGCUACUGCUAGUGCUAUGUAUUCUGGGUCACGAAAGUAUUUUAACAUUUGCGAUAGAAAACUACUACGCGUAGACAGGAGGCAUGGAAACAACGAGGAAAGUUCAUACCGACAUGUAUGAUAUCCCCGUCUGACCUUGUUACGAAAUUUAUAGCCAUUUUUCUGUAUCAUUAAUUCGCAACUGCUUAUCUUCGUAGAAAGUGUUCGAAGUGGCUAUCGUCGGUCUCUAUUAUUCGACAUACACCUGGAGUUUUUGAAAGACUGCGAAAUUCUCUGACACGAUAACUGCAAUUUUGCGUGUGAACCGUGGGUGGUCAUUUCGACCACCCUCUGCGAUGAUAAACUGUCGCGGAUUAUUUUAAUACAAAAGUGACUAUAAUUCUAAAACAAGGUCAGAUAGGACAUACGCUCGUACGAAGACUUUUCAUUGCCCUUAUGUCUGUCCACUACCGAAACGAA
rnacentral:misc_RNA from 1 species